GUGAAAGUAGUUUAAAAAAACGUUAGAUUUUUAAUCUAAAAUUGCAUUAGGCCUUUCGCA
rnacentral:tRNA from 1 species